CAAGGCUUGACAUACACCGGAAACGGCCAGAGAUGGUCGCCCCCUUGUGGUCGGUGUACAGGUGGUGCAUGGUUGUCGUCAGCUCGUGUCGUGAGAUGUUGGGUUAAGUCCCGCAACGAGCGCAACCCUCGUUCUAUGUUGCCAGCGGGUUAUGCCGGGGACUCAUAGGAGACUGCCGGGGUCAACUCGGAGGAAGGUGGGGAUGACGUCAAAUCAUCAUGCCCCUUAUGUCUUGGGCUUCACGCAUGCUACAAUGGCCGGUACAAAGGGCUGCGAUACCGUAAGGUGGAGCGAAUCCCAAAAAGCCGGUCUCAGUUCGGAUUGAGGUCUGCAACUCGACCUCAUGAAGUCGGAGUCGCUAGUAAUCGCAGAUCAGCAACGCUGCGGUGAAUACGUUCCC
rnacentral:rRNA from 1 species